rnacentral:misc_RNA from 1 species
GUUUGCCCUGUUGGCGAAGGUCGCCCUGGACCAUAAAGGUCUUCUUUCGGGCUCCGACCAUCAGGAAGAAGCCCUUUUGGUCGGUAUCUCGGACAAUGUAGCGUCCCUUUUCGGGCAGUGGCAAACGCUCGACUGUCUUAUCGUUCAAGGGGAUACGCAUGUCGGCCAUUUGCGAGCUCCCGAGAUUCUGAAACGGUUUUUGAAACGGUUUUGGCGGAAUGGGGUGUCUAACGGGCUCCCUACGCCACCACAAGAGGAUAUGCGAUAAUACCUUGAAUU